UUCUCUAAUCUUUCAAUUUCUACACCAAACUGUCAUAUGAGAUCUGAAACCCUAACGAAUUUUUACAUUAUUUUGCAGGUGCCGAAUAAGUGGGUUACCGCUAUAUCACAGCUUGGGUACAAAGUUUUUUAUAUUAAAAGAAGUUUACAACACAAUAUGCGCUAAAGCCAAGUUAGUGUUACACUUGAUGCAAUAUUUAGCUCACAGGUGAUAACCUAGUGGAAGUAUAUAUACCUUGUUGGACUUGUUCACAUACUGAGGCCAUCUCCUUUGUGAUUUAGAUAUGUGUAUCUAUGGGUUUUAUGACUUAAUUAUUUGGUUCCGAAGUGAACGUAGAAGAGUUAUUUAUAGGGAAAGUUUUCUUUUGACUCUUUAUUUAAUUAGUUAUUAUUUAUUUUGAU
rnacentral:lncRNA from 1 species